ACCUGAAUCAGAAUCAAAAUCAGAAAAUCAGAAUCAGAAUCAUAUGCAUCGUAACCUUCGCGGAAUCUCUGUUUCUCUUUUGUGUUUUGCACUGCAAUGCACCAGCGUGAUCCACUGCGGCUUCAUUUAUAUAGCGUCUCGUUGGUGGAUCAUUGUUCUUCAGUGUGUUGAAGAGAUCUAGAUCGCUGCGGUAAUGGCGGGAAAUGGUUGGGCGAACAGUUACUAGGAGGCGAUACUAGACGUUGGGCCUGCACUCGAUGAUGCUAAAGCGUCGCUUCUGCUGAGGUAUAGAGGACACAUCAGUCCUCGUUGAGGAGGUCAUCGCUUGCUUCGAUGAAAUCGAUCUCUAUUGCUCUUGGGAUCGAUGAUUUAGGCUGCGGCUACGAGGAGGCCGCAGGGGAGGAACACGAGGCUGGAGAACAUGUAUCGGAGGAUUUUGGCGCGAACGAAGAAGCAGCUUUCCACAGUUAAAGAGAUACUGAAAUUGAUGAGAAUCCAGUCUCUUAGAUGUCAUGCUUUAUAUUGUCAAAAUGAAAAGAAGUUGAAUGCCAUACCCGUGAUGGCGUCAAGGUCCCA